CUACGGGACGCAGCAGUGGGGAAUAUUGCACGAUGGGCGCAAGCCUGAUGCAGCCAUGCCGCGUGUAUGAAGAAGGCCUUCGGGUUGUAAAGUACUUUCAGCGGGGAGGAAGGGAGUAAAGUUAAUACCUUUGCUCAUUGACGUUACCCGCAGAAGAAGCACCGGCUAACUCCGUGCCAGCAGCCGCGGUAAUACGGAGGGUGCAAGCGUUAAUCGGAAUUACUGGGCGUAAAGCGCACGCAGGCGGUUUGUUAAGUCAGAUGUGAAAUCCCCGGGCUCAACCUGGGAACUGCAUCUGAUACUGGCAAGCUUGAGUCUCGUAGAGGGGGGUAGAAUUCCAGGUGUAGCGGUGAAAUGCGUAGAGAUCUGGAGGAAUACCGGUGGCGAAGGCGGCCCCCUGGACGAAGACUGACGCUCAUGUGCGAAAGCGUGGGGAGCAAACAGGAUUAGAUACCCCGGUAGUC
rnacentral:rRNA from 1 species